GAUGAAGAACGCAGCGAAAUGCGAUAAGUAAUGUGAAUUGCAGAAUUCAGUGAAUCAUCGAAUCUUUGAACGCACAUUGCGCCCGCCAGUAUUCUGGCGGGCAUGCCUGUCCGAGCGUCAUUUCAACCCUCGAACCCCUCCGGGGGGUCGGCGUUGGGGAUCGGCCCUUUACGGGGCCGGCCCCGAAAUACAGUGGCGGUCUCGCCGCAGCCUCUCCUGCGCAGUAGUUUGCACACUCGCAUCGGGACCGCGGCGCGUCCACAGCCGUUAAACACCCCAAACUUCUGAAAUGUUGACCUCGGAUCAGGUAGGAAUACCCGCUGAACUUAAGCAUAUCAAUAAGCGGAGGA
rnacentral:misc_RNA from 1 species